UUCCGAUUCUGUCGGGACCAACACAACCCGCUCGAGGUCAAGUUACAGCGCAUUCGACCCACCUGAUAUUGGUUCCGCUGUUAACUCUGCUUGUCAUUGCUCAUGCUGCCGGGAGUACCCACGGCCCCCAAAACAUUACCUGGCAGAUCAUAGACACCAACUCAGGGA